rnacentral:rRNA from 1 species
UACGUAGGGGGCAAGCGUUGUCCGGAUUUACUGGGUGUAAAGGGCGCGUAGGCGGAUCUGUUAGUCAAGGGUGAAAUCCUACAGCUUAACUGUAGAACUGCCUUUGAUACUGCAAAUCUUGAGUUCGGAAGAGAGUAGCGGAAUUCCAGGUGUAGUGGUGAAAUACGUAGAUAUCUGGAAGAACACCAGUGGCGAAGGCGGCUACUUGGUCCGUAACUGACGCUGAGGCGCGAAAGCGUGGGGAG